GAGGCAAGCCCUAUAAUCCAGGAGUUAAUUCACCUAAAUCUUCUAGCCCCAAUUAAUCUCUCUCCCCGCAUACCGAGCCCCAACCAAACCCAGCCGCUCGCCGGAGCCUCCCCAGCCUCGCCGCCUUCUCCCCCCGGUCGAAUCCGCCGCAAUCACGCGCCUCCAAUCUCACUACCAUAGCGCCGCCCCUGCCGGACGCUGUCGACGACGAAUCAGGCCGCUCCUCCCCGACCUCGUACGCGGCACGGAUGACCUCCCACGUCGUCGGUAUGGUCCAGCGGCAUGUAGGCCGACCUGCUUCCCGGCUCCAAUGUCAAAGACGGCGACGGACUGGCGCUGGCCGAUCCGCUGCGCGCGCCGGCUCGGGAUGGACCCAUUGACAUGGACAAGAAGCCGUUGCCGGCGAGGGAGAUGGAGUCCCUCCUCCAUGGCUCCGGUCCAUCUCCUCCUCCUACUCCAUGUAUUCCUGCUGCUGCUUACCACCGGCCAUGUCCCCGACAUGCUGCUGCCGGCGGACUCCGCAACCAGCUGCUGCCGCGCCCGGUAAGGUUCAAACCAUGCCGGGGAUGAAUGGCACCAAGCCACGGGUACCGGGAGAUGACUUCGAGGGGGAACCAGAGGAGCAGGCGGACGUCAUCGGCGACACCCACAAGUGCUGACGCGAGCCGCAACGGCGGCUGCUGAUCGACAGGUACUAGUCGUGGAGAGCACCUCAGCUCCAAGAAGGUUCAAAUCAUAGCUGCGCGUACCAGGAGGCAUUGUUUUUAGGAGGGACUGCUUGUGCUUCCCGGUCUUCGAUUUUGCCGCAUGCAUAGAGCUGCUCUUUGAUUGUUCUCCUUUUCUUUUCAAAUUUAUUAUCUGCUCUAUGCAUAGUCACUUGAUACAAGAUUUCUCAAACUUGUAUGUUUCUUGUCUUUUUUGUUUCAUUGAAAACAGCAUCUUAAUCUGCGGCUUGCAAUUUUCCCUAACAAGUAGCUAUUUAUUGGAAUUUGAUAAAGAAUAUAUUUUUGGAUGCUUUGAUUAGAGUAGGUAUUAUGGAGUGAUUGCUUAUUUUCCUUACUCAUUUUAGGUUUAAGAAUAAGAUGAUAAGAACAACAUCUGGCUUUAUUAAUUGUAUGCUAUGAUUUGCUUUAUGGCUUUAAUUUGGCAGUGAUAUGCUCUGAUUUUUCUGUUGCCCUCACUUUUCUUGUGAUAUGCUAUGAUUUCCUAGUUUUUUUAUGUACAUGCUCCGCCUGCCAUAGUUGUAUGCUCUGUCCUUUAUUGUUGCACUUUUUACAUUUAUGUUCAUGCUUUGAUUUUGUGUGCAAUGUUGAUUCUUCUCGAUCUUUUGUUGAAUAAAUAAAUGGGCAUUUUGCUGCUUAAUUAGAUCGACGUGCAAAGAUAAUGGUAGUUAUAGUUACCUAUCUAGCUAGUAAACAAGGAUAUCUAGAUAUUGAUUCUGGACUAGUAAUGUUUCACAUGAUAAUCUUUGAUUGCUCCGUGUGAAUAAAUCUACACCUGCAUGUUUUUUUACAAAUGCAGUACCACUAGUAUUUCUGAAUAAAUGAACACUUUGAGUAUUGUGUUCUAAUUAUUCUCUUCAUUUCUGAUUGUUGAAUUUCUAGCUUGCACAUAUCCUAAACUUGUAAGGUGCCCUAGAGAUGAUAGAGGAAAGGGUGGCGGGUUCAGCUUGACUUCCUCCACUUGGACGUCGGGGACAAGAACGACUAUGAGAAUGUCCUCAAUGAGGUGACAGCGGUGAUGGCGCCUCGGUUAGAUGAAGGAAUGUCAGGGCGCCCAGGUAGAGGACGGUGACUUCCUCCUCCUCCACUUGGAUGAUGCCGCCGCCGGGGACAAGAACAAACGACUAGAUUUUCUUGCUGCCACUUGUCCUGAAUAUGGACGGUGCCUUCGAUCUGAAAAAUGGGUGGCCGAGCUGCUGCUGCUACUUAGGCUUUGAUACGAUGGGCUGCUGUUGUUGACCACUUCAACACACCGGUUCAGGGUUGGGUGAAGUGGUGCUUGUAGAGCCCACUGCCGGUGGUGGCGGUGAUGGCUUCGUGCAUGAAGGUCUAGGAGGGUGCCUAGGUACAUAACGACGACUUCCUCCUCCACUGGGGCGCACGCUGCCUCCUGGGACAAAAACAAACCACUAGGGUGUCUUAGAGCUAAAAAAAUGGGUGGCGGUCGGUUGAGGACGAAUUCAUCCACUUGGACAUUGUCGCGAACAAAAAUGACUGUGAGUUCAUAUGCAGAAGGCUGUUGCAGUUUUAUGGUGCUGGAGGUUAGCGGUGAAGAACAAGGACGCACUAGGAGGAGGGAGGCUGCAGGAAUGGCGGUGGGGAGGCAAUCUUCUGCCCGAGCUGCAGCUGCUGCUGGCAUCUACGUCCCUGAGUUGUUGCCACCCUGACCUGCGAGCAUCUGUGUUGAUUAAGUGAAGAAACCGGUUGCUUCCCAUCCCUGAUCCAAUUGUUGAUCCAUAGGGAAUCUGGAAGAAACACUUGGGAAGUCCUCCUUAAUCCGAACUUACCAAUCAUGUAUGACCACCACUCUCGCGGCACUGCUGGCCAUCCUCAUGUGCCUUUGUUCUCAGUGGUGGUCUUGGUUGUCCAUUGGCUUUGACCACCUCCUUGGCGACGCAACCACUAUAGCGGUUGCGUU